GCUCAUUUUUGCGUUAUGUUGUGCUCCUCUGACAUGAGAGAUGUUCCCUGAUCAUUUGACAGCAGGAGAGAAAUUCCCCGACAGCUUUACAUCAGUAGAGAAUUACCCCGGCCGUGUGACAUCAAAAAAUCCCUAACCACAAAAAACUUGAUACGCGAACUUUCCGUUAAAAUAAUCCUAAUUUAUUGCUAAAUGGUCGAAAAUCGGUCAAAUUAUUAGUGCAGUAUAAACUAAAACGAUUAGUUAAAUGUCUAGUGCUUCACGCGUCUUAAUGCACAGGUUAAAAACAAAACAAAGUUCCAAGCGCCGGCGCACGUGCAAAUGUAAAAACGAAAAGCGGAAAAUCGGCGGGAAAACUUGUGGAAAGGCAGAAUUAUUAAAGCCAAUGUGUGUGGAGAGUCAAAGGAUUAGAAACAAUACGAAGCAUGUGUGAAAACAAUAUUUGUUCUACUUGAACAAAACGCCAUGAAAGAAUGAAUUUGCGUCGCCAUUUUCGGCGUUGCUUCCCACGCUUGUUUACAUGUAUGCAAAGUUGAGUCGAAAGCAGGCGAAGUAAAAUAACGGCACUAUGCCAUGAUGUGCAAUUGAUCUUGACUUGUGUUUUUUUUUCUGUGAGAGUGAGAGUGCAAGUGUUAGUGAGUGUCGAUGGUCAUUAUGACGGCAAGGUGAGCCAGGCGGGUACGGCUAAAGUGAGUGAAAAGUGAGCGAGUGUUGAUGGUCAUUAUGAUGGCAAGGGGAGCCAGGCGGGUACGGCUAAAGUGAGUGAAGUGUUUGUGUCGAUGGUCAUUAUGACGGCAAGGGGAGCCAGGCGGUUUCGGCUCGUUUACAUGCAUGCAAAGUUGAGUCAAAAGCAGGCGAAGUAAAAUAACGGCACUAUGCCAUUAUGUGCAAUUGAUCUUGACUUGUGUUUUUUUUUCUGUGAGAGUGAGAGUGCAAGUGUUAGUGAGUGUCGAUGGUCAUUAUGAUGGCAAGGUGAGCCAGGCGGGUACGGCUAAAGUGAGUGAAAAGUGUGUCAGUGUCGAUGGUCAUUAUGAUGGCAAGGUGAGCCAGGCGGGUACGGCUAAAGUGAGUGAGUGUCGAUGGUCAUUAUGAUGGCAAGGGGAGCCAGGCGGUUUCGGCUUGUUUACAUGCAUGCAAAGUUGAGUCGAAAGCAGGCGAAGUAAAAUAACGGCACUAUGGCUUGAUGUGCAAUUGAUCUUGACUUGUGUUUUUUUUUCUGUGAGAGUGAGAGUGCAAGUGUUAGUGAGUGUCGAUGGUCAUUAUGACGGCAAGGUGAGCCAGGCGGGUACGGCUAAAGUGAGUGAGUGUCGAUGGUCAUUAUGAUGGCAAGGUGAGCCAGGCGGGUACGGCUAAAGUGAGUGAAAAGUGAGUGAGUGUCGAUGGUCAUUAUGAUGGCAAGGGGAGCCAGGCGGGUACGGCUAAAGUGAGUGAAGUGUUUGUGUCGAUGGUCAUUAUGAUGGCAAGGGGAGCCAGGCGGUUUCGGCUCGUUUACAUGCAUGCAAAGUUGAGUCAAAAGCAGGCGAAGUAAAAUAACGGCACUAUGGCUUGAUGUGCCAUUGAUCUUGACUUGUGUUUUUUUUUCUGUGAGAGUGAGAGUGCAAGUGUUAGUGAGUGUCGAUGGUCAUUAUGAUGGCAAGGUGAGCCAGGCGGGUACGGCUAAAG
rnacentral:lncRNA from 1 species